rnacentral:rRNA from 1 species
GACGUAGGGCGCGAGCGUUGUCCGGAUUUAUUGGGCGUAAAGAGCUCGUAGGCGGCUUGUCGCGUCGUCCGUGAAAACCAGGGGCUCAACCCCUGGCUUGCGGUCGAUACGGGCAGGCUAGAGUUCGGUAGGGGAGACUGGAAUUCCUGGUGUAGCGGUGAAAUGCGCAGAUAUCAGGAGGAACACCAGUGGCGAAGGCGGCAUCCUGGACCGGCAUUGACGCUGAGGCGCGAAAGCUAGGGUAGCAACGGG